rnacentral:rRNA from 1 species
GACGAACGCUGGCGGCGUGCUUAACACAUGCCAGUCGAACGGAAAGGCCCCUUUGGGGGUACUCGAGUGGCGAACGGGUGAGUAACACGUGAGUAACCUGCCCUUGACUUCGGGAUAACUUCAGGAAACUGGGGCUAAUACCGGAUAGGAAUCCUUGCUGCAUGGUGGGGGUUGGAAAGCUUCGGCGGUUUUGGAUGGACUCGCGGCUUAUCAGCUUGUUGGUGGGGUAGUGGCUUACCAAGGCUUUGACGGGUAGCCGGCCUGAGAGGGCGACCGGCCACAUUGGGACUGAGAUACGGCCCAGACGCCUACGGGAGGCAGCAGUGGGGAAUAUUGCACAAUGGGCGGAAGCCUGAUGCAGCAACGCCGCGGGCGGGAGGACGGCCUUCGGGUUGUAAACCGCUUUCAGCAGGGGCGAAGCUUGUGGUGACGGUACCUGCAGAAGAAGCACCGGCUAACUACGUG